rnacentral:rRNA from 1 species
GGUUAAGCGACUAAGCGUACACGGUGGAUGCCCUGGCAGUCAGAGGCGAUGAAGGACGUGCUAAUCUGCGAUAAGCGUCGGUAAGGUGAUAUGAACCGUUAUAACCGGCGAUUUCCGAAUGGGGAAACCCAGUGUGUUUCGACACACUAUCAUUAACUGAAUCCAUAGGUUAAUGAGGCGAACCGGGGGAACUGAAACAUCUAAGUACCCCGAGGAAAAGAAAUCAACCGAGAUUCCCCCAGUAGCGGCGAGCGAACGGGGAGCAGCCCAGAGCCUGAAUCAGUAUGUGUGUUAGUGGAAGCGUCUGGAAAGGCGCGCGAUACAGGGUGACAGCCCCGUACACAAAAAUGCACAUAUUGUGAGCUCGAUGAGUAGGGCGGGACACGUGGUAUCCUGUCUGAAUAUGGGGGGACCAUCCUCCAAGGCUAAAUACUCCUGACUGACCGAUAGUGAACCAGUACCGUGAGGGAAAGGCGAAAAGAACCCCGGCGAGGGGAGUGAAAAAGAACCUGAAACCGUGUACGUACAAGCAGUGGGAGCACGCUUAGGCGUGUGACUGCGUACCUUUUGUAUAAUGGGUCAGCGACUUAUAUUCUGUAGCAAGGUUAACCGAAUAGGGGAGCCGAAGGGAAACCGAGUCUUAACUGGGCGUUAAGUUGCAGGGUAUAGACCCGAAACCCGGUGAUCUAGCCAUGGGCAGGUUGAAGGUUGGGUAACACUAACUGGAGGACCGAACCGACUAAUGUUGAAAAAUUAGCGGAUGACUUGUGGCUGGGGGUGAAAGGCCAAUCAAACCGGGAGAUAGCUGGUUCUCCCCGAAAGCUAUUUAGGUAGCGCCUCGUGAACUCAUCUCCGGGGGUAGAGCACUGUUUCGGCAAGGGGGUCAUCCCGACUUACCAACCCGAUGCAAACUGCGAAUACCGGAGAAUGUUAUCACGGGAGACACACGGCGGGUGCUAACGUCCGUCGUGAAGAGGGAAACAACCCAGACCGCCAGCUAAGGUCCCAAAGUCAUGGUUAAGUGGGAAACGAUGUGGGAAGGCCCAGACAGCCAGGAUGUUGGCUUAGAAGCAGCCAUCAUUUAAAGAAAGCGUAAUAGCUCACUGGUCGAGUCGGCCUGCGCGGAAGAUGUAACGGGGCUAAACCAUGCACCGAAGCUGCGGCAGCGACGCUGAUGCGUUGUUGGGUAGGGGAGCGUUCUGUAAGCCUGCGAAGGUGUGCUGUGAGGCAUGCUGGAGGUAUCAGAAGUGCGAAUGCUGACAUAAGUAACGAUAAAGCGGGUGAAAAGCCCGCUCGCCGGAAGACCAAGGGUUCCUGUCCAACGUUAAUCGGGGCAGGGUGAGUCGACCCCUAAGGCGAGGCCGAAAGGCGUAGUCGAUGGGAAACAGGUUAAUAUUCCUGUACUUGGUGUUACUGCGAAGGGGGGACGGAGAAGGCUAUGUUGGCCGGGCGACGGUUGUCCCGGUUUAAGCGUGUAGGCUGGUUUUCCAGGCAAAUCCGGAAAAUCAAGGCUGAGGCGUGAUGACGAGGCACUACGGUGCUGAAGCAACAAAUGCCCUGCUUCCAGGAAAAGCCUCUAAGCAUCAGGUAACAUCAAAUCGUACCCCAAACCGACACAGGUGGUCAGGUAGAGAAUACCAAGGCGCUUGAGAGAACUCGGGUGAAGGAACUAGGCAAAAUGGUGCCGUAACUUCGGGAGAAGGCACGCUGAUAUGUAGGUGAGGUCCCUCGCGGAUGGAGCUGAAAUCAGUCGAAGAUACCAGCUGGCUGCAACUGUUUAUUAAAAACACAGCACUGUGCAAACACGAAAGUGGACGUAUACGGUGUGACGCCUGCCCGGUGCCGGAAGGUUAAUUGAUGGGGUCAGCGCAAGCGAAGCUCUUGAUCGAAGCCCCGGUAAACGGCGGCCGUAACUAUAACGGUCCUAAGGUAGCGAAAUUCCUUGUCGGGUAAGUUCCGACCUGCACGAAUGGCGUAAUGAUGGCCAGGCUGUCUCCACCCGAGACUCAGUGAAAUUGAACUCGCUGUGAAGAUGCAGUGUACCCGCGGCAAGACGGAAAGACCCCGUGAACCUUUACUAUAGCUUGACACUGAACAUUGAGCCUUGAUGUGUAGGAUAGGUGGGAGGCUUGGAAGUGUGGACGCCAGUCUGCAUGGAGCCGACCUUGAAAUACCACCCUUUAAUGUUUGAUGUUCUAACGUUGACCCGUAAUCCGGGUUGCGGACAGUGUCUGGUGGGUAGUUUGACUGGGGCGGUCUCCUCCUAAAGAGUAACGGAGGAGCACGAAGGUUGGCUAAUCCUGGUCGGACAUCAGGAGGUUAGUGCAAUGGCAUAAGCCAGCUUGACUGCGAGCGUGACGGCGCGAGCAGGUGCGAAAGCAGGUCAUAGUGAUCCGGUGGUUCUGAAUGGAAGGGCCAUCGCUCAACGGAUAAAAGGUACUCCGGGGAUAACAGGCUGAUACCGCCCAAGAGUUCAUAUCGACGGCGGUGUUUGGCACCUCGAUGUCGGCUCAUCACAUCCUGGGGCUGAAGUAGGUCCCAAGGGUAUGGCUGUUCGCCAUUUAAAGUGGUACGCGAGCUGGGUUUAGAACGUCGUGAGACAGUUCGGUCCCUAUCUGCCGUGGGCGCUGGAGAACUGAGGGGGGCUGCUCCUAGUACGAGAGGACCGGAGUGGACGCAUCACUGGUGUUCGGGUUGUCAUGCCAAUGGCACUGCCCGGUAGCUAAAUGCGGAAGAGAUAAGUGCUGAAAGCAUCUAAGCACGAAACUUGCCCCGAGAUGAGUUCUCCCUGACCCUUUAAGGGUCCUGAAGGAACGUUGAAGACGACGACGUUGAUAGGCCGGGUGUGUAAGCGCAGCGAUGCGUUGAGCUAACCGGUACUAAUGAACCGUGAGGCUUAACCUU